UAACGGUAUUGGUUGCUUUAU
ensembl:piRNA 21ur-4907 ncRNA